rnacentral:rRNA from 1 species
CCUACGGGGGGCUGCAGUGGGGAAUAUUGGACAAUGGGGGCAACCCUGAUCCAGCCAUGCCGCGUGUGUGAAGAAGGCCCUCGGGUUGUAAAGCACUUUCAGUGAGGAAGAACGCCUGGUGGUUAAUACCCAUCAGGAAAGACAUCACUCACAGAAGAAGCACCGGCUAACUCCGUGCCAGCAGCCGCGGUAAUACGGAGGGUGCGAGCGUUAAUCGGAAUUACUGGGCGUAAAGCGCGCGUAGGUGGCUUGAUAAGCCGGUUGUGAAAGCCCCGGGCUCAACCUGGGAACGGCAUCCGGAACUGUCAAGCUAGAGUGCAGGAGAGGAAGGUAGAAUUCCCGGUGUAGCGGUGAAAUGCGUAGAGAUCGGGAGGAAUACCAGUUGCGAAGGCGGCCUUUUGGACUGACACUGACACUGAGGUGCGAAAGCGUGGGUAUCAAACAGGAUUAGAUACCCUGGUAGUC